UCCUGACUGACCGAUAGUGAACCAGUACCGUGAGGGAAAGGCGAAAAGAACCCCGGCGAGGGGAGUGAAAAAGAACCUGAAACCGUGUACGUACAAGCAGUGGGAGCACGCUUAGGCGUGUGACUGCGUACCUUUUGUAUAAUGGGUCAGCGACUUAUAUUCUGUAGCAAGGUUAACCGAAUAGGGGAGCCGAAGGGAAACCGAGUCUUAACUGGGCGUUAAGUUGCAGGGUAUAGACCCGAAACCCGGUGAUCUAGCCAUGGGCAGGUUGAAGGUUGGGUAACACUAACUGGAGGACCGAACCGACUAAUGUUGAAAAAUUAGCGGAUGACUUGUGGCUGGGGGUGAAAGGCCAAUCAAACCGGGAGAUAGCUGGUUCUCCCCGAAAGCUAUUUAGGUAGCGCCUCGUGAAUUCAUCUCCGGGGGUAGAGCACUGUUUCGGCAAGGGGGUCAUCCCGACUUACCAACCCGAUGCAAACUGCGAAUACCGGAGAAUGUUAUCACGGGAGACACACGGCGGGUGCUAACGUCCGUCGUGAAGAGGGAAACAACCCAGACCGCCAGCUAAGGUCCCAAAGUCAUGGUUAAGUGGGAAACGAUGUGGGAAGGCCCAGACAGCCAGGAUGUUGGCUUAGAAGCAGCCAUCAUUUAAA
rnacentral:rRNA from 1 species